rnacentral:rRNA from 1 species
CAUCAGGGAGGCCCUCCCAUGCAAGUCAGGGGUACAUAAAAAAGCUUGCUUUUUUGAUGACGACCGGCGCACGGGUGCGUAACGCGUAUACAAUCUGCCUUAUACUGGGGUAUAGCCUUUAGAAAUGAAGAUUAAUCCCCCAUAGUCUCUUUAAAUGGCAUCAUUUUAAGAGUAAAGGUUACGGUAUAAGAUGAGUAUGCGUUCUAUUAGUUUGUUGGUGAGGUGAUGGCUCACCAAGACUACGAUAGGUAGGGGUCCUGAGAGGGAGAUCCCCCACACUGGUACUGAGACACGGACCAGACUUCUACGGAAGGCAGCAGUAAGGAAUAUUGGACAAUGGAGGAAACUCUGAUCCAGCGAUGCCGCGUGAAGGAAGACGGCCCUAUGGGUUGUAAACUUCUUUUAUACAGGAAGAAACCUUUCCACGUGUGGAAAGCUGACGGUACUGUAAGAAUAAGGAUCGGCUAACUCCGUGCCAGCAGCCGCGGUAAUACGGAGGAUCCAAGCGUUAUCCGGAAUUAUUGGGUUUAAAGGGUCCGCAGGCUGUUUGUUAAGUCAGGGGUGAAAUCCUACCGCUCAACGGUAGAACUGCCUUUGAUACUGGCAAACUUGAGUUAUUGUGAAGUAGUUAGAAUGUGUAGUGUAGCGGUGAAAUGCAUAGAUAUUACACAGAAUACCAAUUGCGAAGGCAGAUUACUAACAAUUAACUGACGCUGAGGGACGAAAGCGUGGGUAGCGAACAGGAUUAGAUACCCUGGUAGUCCACGCCGUAAACGAUGGUCACUAGCUGUUCGAUGUACAUUG